AUCUCUUGAGUAUUAAUAGUAUGUUUGCCUUCCAAGCAAAAGGUUUAAGUAGUUUAAAGGAGAUA
rnacentral:tRNA from 3 species